rnacentral:rRNA from 2 species
UGUAAACGAUGUCGAUUUGGAGUUUGUUGCCUAGAGUGAUGGGCUCCGAAGCUAACGCGAUAAAUCGACCGCUGGGGAGUACGGCCGCAAGGUUAAAACUCAAAUGAAUUGACGGGGGCCCGCACAAGCGGUGGAGCAUGUGGUUUAAUUCGAUGCAACGCGAAGAACCUUACCUGGUCUUGACAUCCAUAGAAUUCUGCAGAGAUGUGGGAGUGCCUUCGGGAACUAUGAGACAGGUGCUGCAUGGCUGUCGUCAGCUCGUGUUGUGAAAUGUUGGGUUAAGUCCCGCAACGAGCGCAACCCUUAUUCUUUGUUGCCAGCGAUUUGGUCGGGAACUCAAAGGAGACUGCCGUUGAUAAAGCGGAGGAAGGUGGGGACGACGUCAAGUCAUCAUGGCCCUUACGACCAGGGCUACACACGUGCUACAAUGGCGUAUACAAAGGGAAGCGAAGGUGCGAGCUGGAGCGGAUCUCAUAAAGUACGUCUAAGUUCGGAUUGGAGUCUGCAACUCGACUCCAUGAAGUCGGAAUCGCUAGUAAUCGUAGAUCAGAAUGCUACGGUGAAUACGUUCCCGGGCCUUGUACACACCGCCCGUCACACCAUGGGAGUGGGUUGCACCAGAAGUAGAUAGCUUAACCGCGAGGGGGGCGUUUACCACGGUGUGAUUCAUGACUGGGGUGAAGUCGUAACAAGGUAACCA